CUGAAGGACUUAGGAGCAGAAAGAAAUACACUUCAGAGUUGUUUGCUUUCAGAAGCGUAGUCUAAAAGUUUAAUACAGAGCUGAUGUUUGGACAUGACUGUGAAUACAAAAGACACCGAGGAAUUCUGCAGUGAGAAGGAAGAAGAGCUGGGAGCCGCACAAAUGCCACGGCACAGACUGGAAAUGCUCCCCAAAGUCUUUGCAUCUCCAGCUACAUGAAUGAUGUCCUUUCCCUUUCCAGCGGACACCAGACACUCUGCCCCUCUGCUCGCUUUGUAUUCUGACUACAUUAGAAGGUGGGAAGACAUUCAGUUCCUAUGCAAUGCCACAUUUGACUGGAGAGUCUGACAAAGGAGUAGCCACUUGUGUGAAGAUACAAUGGGCCACUGGAAGGAGCAGUCGAUGAGGACUGGCCUUCUGCUUCCUGGAAUGUCACUCUUCUCAAGGAAACACACUAUCAUCUACUGAAAAGCUUGGCCUAUUUUUUUUUUUAAUUUGCCUCAUAAAAUCAGCCUCCCAACCCUUCACUCAUUUUUAUUCUCUUUCCGCUCAUCUCUAAGAGUCCAACCUGGCAUAAGAUAACAUAAGUUUUCAAUAAAACAUAAAAUAAUCGGUUCAUUUAUUCAUCAAAA